UACAGAGGCCUCAAGCGUUGUUCGGAUUCAUUGGGCGUAAAGGGUGCGCAGGCGGUCGGGUAAGUCGGAUGUGAAAUCCUGGGGCUCAACCUCAGAACUGCAUUCGAUACUGCCUGGCUAGAGGAUUGGAGAGGAGAGUGGAAUUCACGGUGUAGCAGUGAAAUGCGUAGAGAUCGUGAGGAAGACCAACGGCGAAGGCAGCUCUCUGGACAAUUCCUGACGCUCAGGCACGAAGGCCAGGGGAGCAAACGGG
rnacentral:rRNA from 1 species